UGGGGAAUCUUGCACAAUGGGGGAAACCCUGAUGCAGCGAUGCCGCGUGAGUGAAGAAGGCCCUUGGGUUGUAAAACUCUUUCGUCGGGGAAGAAAAUGACUGUACCCGAAUAAGAAGGUCCGGCUAACUUCGUGCCAGCAGCCGCGGUAAUACGAAGGGACCUAGCGUUGUUCGGAAUUACUGGGCGUAAAGCGCACGUAGGCGGGUUAUUAAGUCAGAUGUGAAAUCCCAAGGCUCAACCUUGGAACUGCAUUUGAAACUGAUAGCCUAGAGAUCAGGAGAGGUUAGCGGAAUACCGAGUGUAGAGGUGAAAUUCGUAGAUAUUCGGUGGAACACCAGUGGCGAAGGCGGCUCGCUGGCUCGAUACUGACGCUGAGGUGCGAAAGCGUGGGGAGCAAACAGG
rnacentral:rRNA from 1 species